rnacentral:rRNA from 1 species
GUAGGAGGCGAGCGUUAUCCGGAUUCACUGGGCGUAAAGCGCGUGCAGGCGGUUUGGUAAGUUGGGCGUGAAAGCUCCCGGCUCAACUGGGAGAGGUCGUUCAAUACUACCAGACUCGAGAGUAGAAGAGGAAGAUGGAAUUCCCGGUGUAGUGGUGAAAUGCGUAGAUAUCGGGAGGAACACCAGUGGCGAAGGCGAUCUUCUGGUCUAUUUCUGACGCUCAGACGCGACAGCUAGGGUAGUAAACGGGAUUAGAGACCCCGGUAAUCCUAGCCGUAAACGAUGUGAACUUGGCGUCGGUGGCUUAAACACCAUCGGUGCCGAAGCAAACGCGAUAAGUUCACCGCCUGGGGACUACGGCCGCAAGGUUA